rnacentral:tmRNA from 1 species
GGGGGUGUUUUGGAUUCGACAGGUAUGCUAGGGUAUAGGUUGCAAGCCGGCGGUAUUCCGUAACUUACACUCGUUUAAUAUAAACGGAAACUAUAACACAAACUUAGCAGCUGCCUAAUUAAUUGUAGCUCCCUUAUCGAGUAAUCGCCCAUGUUGCGCGAAUAAGGGUCACUAAUGUGGGAUACGCGUUACGCAUCCGUCUGGUGCAAGACGAAGAGACUAAUCAGACUCGAAGGAUAGAUGGUUGUUCAUUUCCAAGUUAGCCUUUUAAAAAUUUAGAUGAACUAAGCUUGUAGAUGCCUAUAUUGAGGUGUGCUUGGACACGGGUUCGAUUCCCGUCACCUCCACCA